rnacentral:rRNA from 1 species
GCAAGUCGAACGGUAACAGGAAACAGCUUGCUGUUUCGCUGACGAGUGGCGGACGGGUGAGUAAUGUCUGGGAAACUGCCUGAUGGAGGGGGAUAACUACUGGAAACGGUAGCUAAUACCGCAUAACGUCGCAAGACCAAAGAGGGGGACCUUCGGGCCUCUUGCCAUCGGAUGUGCCCAGAUGGGAUUAGCUAGUAGGUGGGGUAAAGGCUCACCUAGGCGACGAUCCCUAGCUGGUCUGAGAGGAUGACCAGCCACACUGGAACUGAGACACGGUCCAGACUCCUACGGGAGGCAGCAGUGGGGAAUAUUGCACAAUGGGCGCAAGCCUGAUGCAGCCAUGCCGCGUGUAUGAAGAAGGCCUUCGGGUUGUAAAGUACUUUCAGCGGGGAGGAAGGGAGUAAAGUCAAUACCUUUGCUCAUUGACGUUACCCGCAGAAGAAGCACCGGCUAACUCCGUGCCAGCAGCCGCGGUAAUACGGAGGGUGCAAGCGUUAAUCGGAAUUACUGGGCGUAAAGCGCACGCAGGCGGUUUGUUAAGUCAGAUGUGAAAUCCCCGGGCUCAACCUGGGAACUGCAUCUGAUACUGGCAAGCUUGAGUCUCGUAGAGGGGGGUAGAAUUCCAGGUGUAGCGGUGAAAUGCGUAGAGAUCUGGAGGAAUACCGGUGGCGAAGGCGGCCCCCUGGACGAAGACUGACGCUCAGGUGCG